rnacentral:rRNA from 1 species
GAGUUUGAUCUUGGCUCAGAUUGAACGCUGGCGGCAUGCCUUACACAUGCAAGUCGAACGGCAGCACGGGAGCUUGCUCCUGGUGGCGAGUGGCGAACGGGUGAGUAAUGCAUCGGAACGUAUCCUGGAGUGGGGGAUAACGUAGCGAAAGUUACGCUAAUACCGCAUAUUCUGUGAGCAGGAAAGCGGGGGACCUUCGGGCCUCGCGCUCUCGGAGCGGCCGAUGUCGGAUUAGCUAGUUGGUGAGGUAAAGGCUCACCAAGGCGACGAUCCGUAGCAGGUCUGAGAGGAUGAUCUGCCACACUGGAACUGAGACACGGUCCAGACUCCUACGGGAGGCAGCAGUGGGGAAUUUUGGACAAUGGGGGCAACCCUGAUCCAGCCAUGCCGCGUGAGUGAAGAAGGCC